UGGGGAAUUUUGCGCAAUGGGGGAAACCCUGACGCAGCAACGCCGCGUGAGUGAUGAAGGCCUUCGGGUCGUAAAGCUCUGUCAGAGGGGAAGAAAUGCAGGGGUGCUAAUAUCAUCUUUGCUUGACGGUACCCUCAAAGGAAGCACCGGCUAACUCCGUGCCAGCAGCCGCGGUAAUACGGAGGGUGCGAGCGUUGUUCGGAAUUAUUGGGCGUAAAGCGCGUGUAGGCGGUUUGGUAAGUCUGAUGUGAAAGCCCCGGGCUCAACCUGGGAAGUGCAUUGGACACUGUCAGACUUGAAUACGGGAGAGGGUAGUGGAAUUCCUAGUGUAGGAGUGAAAUCCGUAGAUAUUAGGAGGAACACCGGUGGCGAAGGCGGCUACCUGGACCGAUAUUGACGCUGAGAGGCGAAAGCGUGGGGAGCAGACAG
rnacentral:rRNA from 1 species